rnacentral:snoRNA from 1 species
UAAUAGUGAUAAGGACAACUUCUGAGCAUGCCCUUAAAUCUCUCCCAAGUUUGGUAGAGAUUUUCUCCAUCUUUCUGUCCGAAGCUCAAUAUCUCACUCCUUAAUCG